UCUUCUCCCCCUCCUCCUCUUCUUCCUUCUCUAUCUCCUCUUCUUCCUCCUCCUUCUCCUCUUCCUUUUCCAUCUCCUUUUCUUCCUCCUCCUUCUCCUCCUCUUCUUCUUCCUCUUCUUUCUCCUCCUCCAUCUAAUCUUCUCCUCCUCUUCUUCCUCCUCCCUCUUCUUCAUCCUUUUCUUCUUCCUCCUCCUCAUUUUCCUUCUCCUUUUCUUCCUCCUCCUUCUUUCUUCUCUUCUUCUUCCUCCUUCUUUUUUCUCUUCUUCUUCCACCUCCUUUUCUUCCUCCUCUUCUCCCUCCUUCUCUUCUUCCUUCUCCAUCUCCUCCUCUUCCUCCUCCUUCCUUCUCUUCUUUCUUCUCCUUCUCCUCUUCCUUUUCCUUCUGCUCCUUCUCUUCCUCCUUCUCCAUCUCCUCCUCCUCUUCUUCUUCUCCCUCCUCCUCUUCCUCCUCCUCAUCUUCCUCCUCUUCCUUCUCUUUCUAUCUCUUCCUCCUCCUUCUUCUCUUCCUCCUUCUCCAUCUAGUCUCCUCCUCCUCUUCUUCCUUCUUCUCCUCUUUUUCCUUUUCCUUCUCUUCUUCUUCUUCCUCCUUCUCCAUCUCCUCCUCCUCCUCUUCCUCCUUCUACUCUUCUUCUUCCUCCUCCUCCUCUUCCUUCUCCACCUCCUCUUCUUCCUCCUCCUUCUACUUCUUCUUCUCCUCCUUAUUUCUCCUCCUCUUCUUCUUCUUCCUCCUCCUUCUACUUCUUCUUCUUCUCCUUAUUUCUCCUCCUCUUCUUCUUCUUCUUCCUCCUCCUUCUACUUCUUCUUCUUCCUCCUCCUUCUUCUUCUUCUCAUUUCUCCUCCUCUUCUUCUUCCUCCUCCUUUUACUUCUCCUGCUUCUCUUAUUUCUCCUCUUCUUCCUCCUCCUUUUUCUCUUCCUUCUUUUCAUCCUCCUCCUCCUCCAUUCCAUCCUCAAGCCUCCCUUCCCAUGGGGCUGCAGCGCCGACCCACGGCGUCACCCCAACGCUUUGGGUAGGACAGGACCUUCCAAACCCCCCCAGUUCCCCGGAGUCUUGGGGUCCCUCCCAUGGGUAUUGGGGUCCCCCCCGGGCACUGAGACUCCCCCCAGGGGGGGCAGCCACAGCUUCUCUGGGAAACCUCCCACCACCCUCAGGGGGAUGAAUUUCUUCCCAAAAUCUCACCUCAAUCUCCCCUUUUUCACCUCAAAACUCUUCCCCCUCGUCCUAGGCCUCCCCUCCCUGCUCCAGAGUCCCUCCCCAUCUCUCCUGGAGCCCCUUGAGGGGCCGGAAGGGGCUCUGAGGCCUCCCCGGCCCCUUCUCUCCUCCAGCCUGAACUUGGGGAAGGGAUAUUUCCCGCCAUAACCCCUUUUUCCCGCCAAAAUCAGCGCCUUUUCCCGCCAAAAUCAGGGCCCUUUCCCCUCCCCUUCCGCCUUCUUCCAGGCUCGACCAGCCGAGUACCGCAUCUUCCACCCGCCCCUCCCGCUCCUGCCCAGGCNNNNNNNNNNNNNNNNNNNNNNNNNNNNNNNNNNNNNNNNNNNNNNNNNNNNNNNNNNNNN
rnacentral:lncRNA from 1 species